GCCGUGUGUCAUGGUUUAUGCCUGUAGUCCCCACUAUUUGGGAGGCUGAGAUAAGAGGAUCACUUGGGUCCAAGAGUUUGAGACCAGACUGAACAACAUGGUGAGAUCCCCUCUCAA
rnacentral:sRNA from 1 species